rnacentral:rRNA from 1 species
UACGUAGGGGGCUAGCGUUGUCCGGAUUUAUUGGGCGUAAAGAGCGUGUAGGCGGCUUUGCAAGUCCGUUGUGAAAACUCGAGCUCAACCUCGAGACGCCGGUGGAAACUGCAAAGCUAGAGUCCGGAAGAGGAGAGUGGAAUUCCUGGUGUAGCGGUGAAAUGCGCAGAUAUCAGGAAGAACACCCGUGGCGAAGGCGGCUCUCUGGGCCUUACCUGACGCUGAGGAGCGAAAGCGUGGGGAGCGAACAGG